UUUUGCUGUUCCAUGGGCGCGACCUGGAGAUAGAGCAGCGAGAGGUCUCCCAGGUCUGAAGACCUUGAGCAAAGGUCUGAAGGUGUUGAGCCGACAAGGUGUAGCGGGAAGGCAGCCGAGCUCUCUGCCUCACGCCGCUUUGGCUGACGGCGCCUGAAAGGCGGCCACGGUACUGCUGUUGGUCUGCCAAGGGGCCUCCAAGGUGGGAUCCCACACAUCAUCCCUGCGUGCAGGUCUCCCUACGCUUGACACCUGCGGAGCUUUUCGCUUCUCUGUCUCCACGUGCAGUGUUUUGGGGACAUUGUUACUGCUGGUAGGGAUUUCCCACGGUGACUGGCUUCACGGUGACUGCAGCAGGAGGGCAGCGCCUGUCAGGCAUGGGCUGCAUUGGGGCAUGCUCCCCAGCUCAAACAUCCUCAUUCUACCUUCCUUCUGAUCCUUACCUUUCCAAUUGUCUGAUAAACAUUGGGCUGGGGAGCCAGUGCUCCUUGUCUGGCAAAGUCCCACGUCCUAAUGGCAAACAUCUCUGUUGGAAGCCUCUGCAAGAGAACCCAUAGUUUAUUUAGAACAGCUUUUCAACAAAAUAUUCAGCAUUUCUCUGUCUUUGAUUUUGCUCUAUUCUUGCCACAUUGCCAUUUUCUGUUUGCAGUCAGGGCAUGCAGAAAUGGUUUGAUUGCUUCUUUGAUUUUUACAGCUCCACUCCAAAAUAAUAGACCAAUUGGAUUUGGAAAGAGGCAUUUUUCUACUCAACACCAAAGUCCACGUGGCAUAGAGAAGUGAUUUAAGUAUAUCCACCUCAGCAACAUUUUAGAACAAGCAAUUUCAUUUUUAAGUGAAAUAAAACAAAAAGGAGCAGUGAAUUUCAGACUUGCAAAGGUUUCAUGCUGUUUUGCACCAGCCUAUCAAGGUCUCAGAUCCUCUGCUCCACCUGUUAGUGAUGCUACUGUAUUGCCAAGUUCUGCUCAGUCUUUGAUGAAUUGCCAGUGCUUGACUCGGGGUAAACAAGGUUUUGCAGGUACUACAGGAUGAUGAAAAAAAUAAAGUGUUUUAAAGAUGUAAAAAUGUCAUCUCUUGAGUGAACAACAGCUUUUACCUCCUUGUCUGAUUCCCACCUUACCAACUGUAUUCAGCAAUGGGCUGUUAUAUUUCCUGAAGCUACUUAAUGUCUUCCUCAGUAUGGGAAGGUCGUGACUUAUGUGCUUGCUCUCUAAAGUAAGGAAUGAUACCUCAGAACUGUAAUAGUGGAUUGCUUUUGAAUAUGUAUGAAGGAGCCUAAAGGAGCUGUCUGUUGACAUUUUAAAAAGAAAAUUUUUUGUGUGUUCUUGUGCCAAUUUUGAUUCUACAGUUUCUGUGAUUUCUGUGUGUUGGCUGUUUUGGCCAGCUUAGGGAGACCGAGUCUACUCAUUUCAAAUAAAAAAGUAUAAUGUGAAUUCCUAAAACAUGUUCUAAUAACAACACAAAAGGAAGAGAACACUUAUUAUUUCCAUUGUUGACCAAGUCUACUUGGCUUGGAAGAGGAUGUGUGUGCAGAGAGAGGAAGCCUGGAUAUCUUUCCUUUGUGGCAGCCCCAUUUCUCAUGCCUUGAAGCCUUCCUGCCAGCACUGGGAUUUGAUUUACUCACCCAGUGGGAGAAGAAAAUUGACCUCCAAUACUUCAUAUGUUUGUGUGAUCCUAAUUUUUCUGACUGCCACCAGAUACAGUGGCACAUUUAGAAAAAAAAUCAUUUUAUCUUCAGGAAGGACUCUUUUCUCAAUAUUAGCACUUUUUAAAGGAUCUGUGUAGGUAUGCAAAAGGGUCCUUAGCACAGCACAAGCUUAGAGACACAAGACUUCUGCAUGUCCUUUCAGGAGGUUUUCUCCACUGUUUUAAUUAAAAGAGGGUGAAAAGGAUGAAAGCAGUAACUGUCCCUGUUUGCUUUUCCUGCACAGGGGUAGCUGAUCCAGUGUCCUUGAUUUUCCAGAUUGUCUUCUCCAUUGAAAGAUCAAGAUGCAGCUACUCCUACGCAAAAGCAAAGGAAUCAGAGCAAACAGCUCCUGUUUGAGAAAUCCAGCAGCAGCACCUGGUGCCUGUUCUGCUGCCAGUCUGCAAACUCCAGAAAUGCUAUGAAAUGACUAAACAGAUUGUGAAGACAGGUUGCUGAUGGGUGAGGAUAAGAAGGGAUCCUUAAGAAUGUUACAUUCCUGCCCCCUGUCUUCACCCUCCCCAUGAGUCCUUUGGCUGCAGCUCCCAGGAGGGAUAGGAGAUCUGUUUUCCAACACACAGAAGCAUGUUCCAUGGCUAAGAGUGCAGCUCUUCUAGAAGAGUGAUUUUGGCCAGUUCUUGAAAGUCACAUGAAAAUCCUGGACUCAAAAGCUUACUAAUGUUAGAGCUAAAUAUACCAAUUUAAUUUUUGUGUUCAGGUCAAGCCUAAAGAUUUAGCUCCAUACUUUGCAUCAGCACUUUUGAGAGUGUUACUAGAAUCUUUUCUGCUUGAUUAGCAGUGUUUUGAGGACCAGCUUUCACAUAAACUUGCAGCAUCUUAAUGAAUUCUGCAUGUAAUUUUAAUGUCUUUGAUUUGUAACACUGGUAACUUAAGAAGUCAUUCCUCAAUUACAGUUAAUAUUAUUUAAUUUGGUCCUAAAUGAAGUAUGAUUAUGAAUUUGCAAAUCUCUUCAUGGAGAUGUUUACUCAGCUGACUACUAGCAUUUUUAAUCAGCUAGCAAACUCAAAACUCAAACUUCGAUGUAAGUUGUGAAAAUCUGUUUAAAAGAGAGGAAAGGAGGCAAUUUGAUGGAAGGAAAAGAAUUACUAAUUAUAUUUAAAAAAAAACCAAACAGGCUUUCUUCUUCUGCAACUAGUCAGACUCUUGCGACAGAUUCUGUAAUAUCUUAGUAUAAAAAUUGUCAAGCAUCUAAAGUUGCAAUGUAAUGUUUUAAACAUCAGACUCUUGGUCUCUAGAAUUUAUUCUUAUGUUCCUCAAGCAGAUUUUUAAGACUGUCCAUUAACUUUAUCCAACUUUAGGAUAGUGUAUGCUUCAGAAAUGAAAGCCAUUUCUAUUUUUUUGCCCACAUUUUGUACAUUUAAAAAGUUACUGUCAAUAAUACACAGUUAACACUAGAAAAAAGUACUAUGAAUUUCCUGUAUGGAUUUUAAAAAAAAAUUAUAAUUUAGACAUAGUGUCUUAGACAAGGAAAUAGAGAGAUAUCCAUUUACAAGGAAAGAUCCCCAAAAAUAUCAAGACAGAAGAAAAACAAUUCAAGCUUUUAUUUAGACACUUAAUUUUCAGGAUUUCUAGAAGUUGUAGCACAGAGUGAACAUCCAUUAAAAAAUUAAAGCUUUUUCCUUCAUGGGGGGAAAGGCAUUUUUUGUUCAGUCACAUUCUAUUUCAGAAACGUUGUUGUUUCAGACAACAAUAAUAUUCAGAAUGGUUUCUAAAUUAUGCUUUAAAAUGUCUUUCAAAACUAAAUAUUAUUGCAACUAGGAUGACAUAUUGUGUUACAGCACCCUGUAACAAAUUUUGAGUUUUUACAAGAUCAGAAGUUAAUAAUUCUCAGCAAAUAUAUAUAAUAUAUAUAUAUUAAUAUAUCAGUAAAUAUAACCUGUUUGUUAUAUUUUUUUAAAUUUUUGCCAUUUGAAAGAAAUUAAAAGCUUAGAUCUUAGUGGACUGUGUUCUAAUGAAAAUACAGGGGUUUAUUUUUUUAAUAUAUGUGCACUGCAAAAUUACAAAGAGCAUCUAUUUUUUACAUGCUAUCUGAUGGAGGUGAUUAAAGGCUUAGUUUCUGAAUACAGGUUAAUUGUGUCUCCUGUGUAUUUCCAUGUUGUUUAGACACUUAGACAAACCAAUGCCCACAUAAACCUUUUGCAAUUUUGUGAGCAGAAAAACAUAAACCUAGUUUGGUGCACUUCCUAUUCUAUCUCUUUCUACAUUUAUAGGCCGUUUGGUCUCAUUUUGUCCAUUUACAUAUUGCAGCGCAAAUACUGUGGAUUUUUUUUACAUAAGUACCUACUGUACAAUGCAGAAGAUUUUCACUGUUCAUAAGAUAGUAUUGACCUUAACUGUAAACAGCACUCUGCUCUGAUUCAGUUUCUGUUGGUCUGGGUUGGCAUUUUGUAAUACAGUUAGGAUCAGGAUAUUCCUAUCUUUUGCCAAAAGGUACUCAAGUCCUUUAUUUCGGGCAACGUAACCAUGUCAUAUCCAUUUUAUGUUUGGUGUGCAUCCUCUCCUUUUAUAACAAAUUUAUUAACUUGGCUAACUCAAAGAACUUCACUGAUUAUGCCCUCAGGGUUCAAAUGCUGUGUCAAACAAGAUGUAUUGCAUAUAUGUGCAGCAUGCAGGAGGACUAUACCCCUGCAAUCUUGACUUGUAGCUGCUGUAUUUUAUGACUUGUAUCCGUAGCAACCAGUGGAGUAGAAGAAAGGCGCCAGAAUCACCUGAGUAACCAUGGAAACCAAAACAAUGUUUAUGGAUAAUUGCCUAAUCUAACCCACCUACCUACACAAAAUAGGAAAUAAUUGAUAUUUAAUAUCUGGAGACACUGGCCUGAAAUCAAUCAUUUGGAAUGAGUUAUGUCUUCUCAUAAUAAUCAUUGUAAUUUUUACCAUUAUAUGUUUUAUCAUUAUAAUCAUUGUCAUUGGGGGUUGGAACUAGUUCUUUAAGGUCUCUCCAAUCCAAGCUAUUCUAUGAUUCUCUGUUUCCAACAAAUGAAGCCAAAAGCUACAUGCAAAACAUAUGGUAAAGAAAAUUAGAUCACCUCUUUUAGUCUUUUCCUUUCUGAUGACACCUAAGUCAAGUAAAAUACCCUUGCACUAUGAGGUUAUUGUUUAGUCAGUAAUUGUUAUAGAUGUCAUACAAGGAAUUACUGAAUUCUGAUCUAACCUUGAUUUGUCUUUGAUAUAAAAUAUUUAUUCUCCUGUGUCGUUCAAGAAAAACGUGUCAAAUCAUGCUAUGGACUUCCAUAAUGAAAAACUAUCUGUUUUGCUGUUUUGAGUAAGAUGUUCAGAUCAAGACUGAGAAAUGGGGAAAGACAGUUUGAAAGAAGGACUGUGAAAAGACUCUCAUCUGUCUGGUCUUGACUGCUCUCUAGAGCUGCAAUAGACAACUGUAACUAGCUUCAGCUAGACUCAGAGAACUGCUGUAAGAAGCAAGAAUUGUAAGCCCUGCUAAAUAAAAGAGUUUUUACGGCAUACUUUUAUCUAGGAACAGCACAGCAUCCUUUGAGAAGAAACUGGCAUGGAGGAGAGGAGAUCUAAGACUUGGUGCAGGAGGCUUGAUCCUUUCUUUCUUCCCCUUGAAUUCUCAUGCUGCAUCUUUUGUAUCGGUAUGGAGUCCUUACUGCUGAGCCUGGUGGGAGAACAUUGCAGAGUCAAAGUAGAGGGCAGUGAGGGUACUUCAGUGAGAUUAUUACACUUGCAGCUGAAGUUUUAUAUCUAUGAAACUGUUUUUGCCUCAUAGAGGCCAGCUAUUGCAUUCAAAAGGGAAGCAGUAGAAGAAGUAUUCAUGCUAACUUACUGCUCCAGUCUCAUCUCAGGCUGUUAGGAAGCAGCCCAGAGAAUGUAUCUAAAUCAGAGAAAAGGAAAGAAUGCCAAGAGAAGAUACUCAGUAAGAGAACCUUGGAAUGUAAUUGCAGGGACAGGAGGAGGUGUUGUAGUAAAUGACAAUUAUACAUGAUGUCAUUGAGCUUAUUGCAGGAAAAGUCACCAGCACUGAUUUAGGGCAUGAAAGCUGCUUUAAUCAAAGGACAGAAAGGUAAUUACAUUCAGGGACUUUUACGACAAGAAAUCAGAAACGGAGAUAUCUAAAGCAAAAUUAACUGCUAAAAAAGACUUUCAAUUAAAUAGGUGACAAUGGGAAAGCAAAAAUGAAGGUCAUUAGCAAGUUGAAAGAAAUGUCUGAAAAGUGAAAGGUAAGAGAGAGCGUUGUGAAUGAGUGGUCUAGGUCGCUUAGAGAAACACUGACCAAAAUGUUGACAAAAGCAGGUUUAAUAUAAGUUUGCAAAAGCACAAAGCUUGGUGAUAAGGUUCACAAAGUAAAAUCAGGUUAGAAUCAGUCUAGAAUGGUUUACAUGAAGACCAGGGAUACUCUUUGUUAGGAAACAGGACCUCAUUAGACAACAGAAACUCCUGGGAGCAGAUAAUGUUUCCAAUUAAAAGCUCAAAGGGAGCUUAACUGCAUAAGAAUAAUUAAUCAAGGCUUGGACCUAACAAGCAUUCCUGAAAUUGUAAAGCAGCCUGAGGGGUGGUGCAGGGGAUAUGCACCGCAGCAGAGAAAUAUGAUUACUUUGCCUAACAACAGAGAAAUGACAGGUUUAUUAUUCCUGGGUUGAAGGUGAAGGGGUUUUUUUGAUAACCUUUCUUACUAGGAACUUACAAAGACAUUUUAAAACUCCCAAAGCACAGCCAUACAAAAGGAUAGCUCCUGAACAUGAGAGUCUGGAGAAAAUGGCUGGAGAAACAAUUCAUAUUAGUAGAAGGAACAAAAAAAAUAGUGCUAGAAUGGGUAUCUAAAAGAAUUACUACAUCAAAGAUUGAAAACUGAGCUUCUAAGCCAUUUAGGAGAUAUUUACUGAAGCUAAUGUGAGUAAGACUAUGGCAGAUACCCAGACUACUCUUGGAAAAGUGUGAUUAUAAAUGGCUGUUCUGGAAUAAUGGUUUGUAUGUGACCUUGUAAUUAUAAAAAAUAUAAGCUAUUUCACCUGUCCUUGGAGAGUUCAUUAAUUUAGGCAUGAUAAUAAAUUGCACCAAUGGUUGUUUUGUGAAAGAUCCAACAUAACUAUUUCAUUAGAGGUGGUUUGAGAGAUUUUCUAAUUUAGUACUUCAUGGCACUAAGAACUUAAAAGUGUGUAGAUAUACUAGAAUAGCUAAAUAUUAUCUUCCAGAAAAGAAAAAAUCUCUCAUAACAAUUAGAUUUUAAUUUUUCUUUCCCUUUCAAAAAAUCUGAAAGGACUCCUUUGCUUUCAGCAAAUAAUUGAAACAAAUAAUUCAUAUAGUACACAGAAUGCAAUAACUAGUCCAAAUUAUUAGAGCACUGUGUACAAACUAGUAAUUUAUUUGAAAAUCAGGAUAAAUACACUAUUUAAUAACUAAAUGAACAUUGAAUAUCAAUUACCUCAUUCUAAAUGACAUCUCUAAUUUUUAUUUGAUUUACCCAAACAUUGCUUCAUCUUUUUCAAUUUUAUGAUCAAGAAAUUGUGAUGCUGACAAAUUUAAUACUUGCCCAAGACUACCUAAUGUAAUACUGAGGGAAUUUCAAUGUAAUACUUAGGGAAUUUCUCAUGCUUUCAGCACAAAACAAGCCUGUAACAAAGUGGGAAUCCCUACUCAGAUCCUCCGACCCAUCAGUUGUCACUGUCAACUGAUACAAACUGCUGUGCUUCUCUUUUCAACCAAGAAUGACUCUUCUAUUGCUGCAUAGGGAAGUUCCCUGUAUUUAUAAGAAUUGAGAAGUCUGUGUCAAAAGCAUUUUUAUGUGCAAAGUAGCAAAAUGCUACCCCUGAGAUUUCUGAACUUGUGAAUUAAUGUUUAAUUGUAAUGGGAAGUUUACCUUCUUUCUGGGGUGCAAAGGGAUUCCUGUAAAUGCUCUAGUUUGAGAGUGAAAUGGCAAGCUUAUUUUAGCUCUGGUGGUGUUACUGAAAUAAAUUCUCUGCGUUUUCCUUUUCUUCUAGUUUACUGGGAGAAAAAAAGGCAGCAAAAGUACAUGCUAGCUAAACCUCCUUUUUAUUGCCAGCAGUAAAGUUGCCUCUGGGAUGAGAAGGACCCUGUGUUAGAACUCCAGAUUCCUUAAAUGCAAACUGAACACUACUUGCUUGUUUAUUUGUACACUUUACAUAUUUUCUUUGGCCAUGAUAUCAUAGAAUCAUGGAAGCAUUAAGGUUGAAAAAAUCUCCAAGAUCAUCAAGUCCAACCUUUGGUCACCAUCCACUUGUGAUUGUACAUGCAAACCUCUGUGCUCAUUUAUUAACUGAGUUUGUAUGAGUUUGUUGCAGCUUUCUUUCAAUACUCUUUUCAAAAGUGUUUCCUUCCUCAAAGAGUAUGGAAACAUCUUUUUUACUUUCAGGUAGAAGUGGAAAAAAAGCCCUUAUUAAUAUGUAAUUACUAAAGUCUAUAUUAUCAUUCACAAAGUGCUUGGCAAACCAGAUGGAAUAAAAGACAGUGCUAUGUGAUUGAUUUGGGAAGCUUGGAAAAGAAUCAGAGAGAGAGGUUUUAUAAGUCUACUCUAUGGUGUGACUUUCAUCUAUUUUUUACUGAGCAAUAAUUUUAAUUUUUAUUUUAAAAAGGGUAAAUAUCUGGUGAAUAAUAUUUCCAUAGUUAGAUGCCAAAAUUAUUAAGCAAAUACAUUUGUUACAAUAUUUUAAUUAUUUCUAUAAUUCAAAGACUAUUUAAAGACUAGCAAAGCUCUAUGAAAUAAAAUAUAUAAAUUUACCUACUAAUGUAGGAAACUACAAACUUCUGAUGAACAAAGUUGAAGGGGACAGACUAAGGCAGAUAAACUAAAAAACUGAGUUCCAAGGAAAAAUGGGUGAGCAGCUGAGAACACUGACAGAGAACAGAUUCUUGAUCCCCAUUUCUUUCACCCAUUCUUCUUUAGUCUAUUUUGUUUUAAGGAAGUAAUUUUACAUUGUAAAAUAUAGUCAGGGAUAUAGUGGGGCCUAAAGUUUUAAUGAGUUCAAGAGAGGGUCAGUUGAAUUUUAAGACAUAUGUCAACAUUACUGCUAUAGAAAGCUAUUUGGAUAUCUACACAGAUUAUUCAAUAAUUUUUCCUUGUCGCUUGCUGUAUGUUUAUUACUGUUGAAAAGAGUGUCUGCCAUGCAAGCAGUACAACAGAACUUUGUGUUUACAGCUCAUGGGCAGUAUUCAUUAGAUGAUUGUUUUCAUUCAUCUGAAGCAAAAUGGCAAACAUUUCAUUAGUAGUAAAAAAAAAUUAUUUUUAUGAAAACCUCCUUGCUGCUAGUCCUAUUCAUUAGGUAACAUUAUACCUUGUAAUGGAAAAAGGUAGAGGAAUUUUACAUGAGAGUUUAAUAUUGUUUAUGCUGAAGUAAAGCUAAAGGGCAGUCAUGGAAAGAAGGACUUGGCCUAGAAGCUUAGAGCUGUCCGUGAGUGAGAAAAGACAUGCCUCGGUGACCUGAACAGCACCAGCAUCCUAGCUCCUCUAGCACAUCUCUGAAACUCUCCUAGUGUCAUCUGGCAUCAUAAGGACCUGUCUGUCUCAAGACUGACUCCAGGAGCAUCUGGAUCAACAGGCAGCAGGAAUGCUGCAGAUAUACUGUUGCUUUGCAAAGUUUUACUCCCACUGGUGAUUCAUAAUAGGGGAAUUUUUGAUGACUGAAAUUGUGUUGCACCUGAAUAAUUCAAUAAGACUGUAAAGAAACUAUCAGAAACCUGUGUCAGUCCAGACUUGGGGUGUCCCAAUUUGGGUGGGGCACUUCAUGUGCAUGAAUAAAUAUAUACAAUAGCAAUUCUAGAUUUUGUAUCCAAGUUCUGCUCCUCAGUCAUCACUGACAACUUGCCAUUUUUCUCAAGAGCCCCCAUGGAGGAGGGUUUUGCUUGCCUGAAACACAUUCUGCAAGCAGAUUCACGUGUUCUUAUAAAAAAAUAGU